GUUUUGUAAACACUCAGUAUGAAUCCCCGUACCCAGCCGCUUGGACGAUACGGAUUCACUAAAAAAUAACUCGCGACGGCAAAGCAUCAAUACGUAAAUCAGUUAAAAAAUGUGAAGUUCUGCACAAAAUAUGAAAAAUAUUAAAAAACAUAUGGCACACGGAUCCAUAAGAAAUGUCGCAAAUAGUGUAUUCGAGUGCAUAAGCAACAUAUAUGUUCAAACAGUGCAUGCAUUUUUGAGCAUCUGGCUUCAUGAAAAGUGAUUAAAAGAAACGAGCUAACAAAUUGAAUUAUAAAGGAGAUUUAGUUAUCAAAAGGCAAAAAUUAAAUUGUGGAUGUUACAUACAACUUGAUAUUGGCAGGCACAUACUUAAUUAAAGGACGCAGACAUCUAGACCCAACCAACUAACAGAUGCAAUUAGACUACCACCCUGGACGAAGUGGUCAAAAAAAUGUACAACAUAUGAGCAUUAAAAAUUCAAAAUUCAUUUAGAUUGCUCAGAAAGGACGUUGUCUCUGAAAUGCUUGUCUUUUACUCAUUAGCGACACAUACAUUUCGAAUAAUUCAUACUUCAACUGAUAAGCUGUCCUCCCAACUACUUAUAUAAAUAUAUAUAAAAAAUAAAACCUUUUGAAGUUUUAAUUAAAUGAGCAAUAGAUGCUGUUCCCAUGCUGUAAAUCAGAGCGGCAACGAGCUGUGGCAUAGCAGGCAUAGCUCAUCAAGAUGCUGACCAAAUCCGCAGUCAAAACAAAUCGUUAAAAUGCCAUAAAAAGCCCAUAUGCAGCCGACAUGGGCAGCAGGAGAAGCAAAUGCAUUCGAAUAAAAUUUUACCACCGUUUCCUCAAACAUCAUCAACAUCAAACUAACGGCGGCAACAUCCGAGCCACCUCAUAAAAGUAACGAUGUCUAUGAAAAAAAGUAUCUGAUGGAUACAAGCAGUCGCAUUCGCUGUCGCAGUCGCAAUCGCAGCCUCCGCUGAGAUGAGAGUUUGAGGGGUAUCAAAAUAAUUAUGGCAUACGUCACGGAACUUGGGUUUUAUGUCUUUUAUAUUGAUUGUCAUCAUGUCACACUAACAGAUCGUAAAAAAGUCGUAAAACCCAUAGCCCGGGCCAAACAACUCACUCGACUGCAAGAGCAAAUGAACGCACGACCCGCAACUGCACUCAAAUACUAGGAUCAGAUUCUGGCUCAGGCUCGGGCACAGCCUCUGCUCGCAGGACACUCCAACCCCCGUACAGGAUGCUGAAGGAUCGCUGGCCGCUUUGAGUGAUUGUUGAGCUGAACGCCUGGCGACGAGUGGCGAGCGGAUUCGGGAGCGCGUUUGCUUAAGUGGCGUCAAGUCGUAAAAAGAACAUAAAAUUUGGGCCAGGCGCUGGUAUUAACCGCAAUUUGUUUAUAUAGUUGUUAAAAUGCCAUUUUGGCUUGUUCUAUUCUGCUUGGCAUUUAAUUGUUGGCUGCCGGUAUUUCUUUUUACGACCACACAAAGAGGGCAAACCUAAUAAAAUUUAUUUUUACGACAA